CGUAGUUUCGGAGAUAUAAAUUUUUUUAAAUUUGUAAUAUUUCAAAAUUGAUUUUUCGUCACGUGCCGAGAUAUUAUGCCUUUUCAAGAAGAAAUAAUGGCCCAAAGUGUAAAAUUUGCAGUGUUUUCGUUCAACCGACUAAUUGAACAUUAUGAAGUACAUAAUUGCAGAUGUUCAAAGCAAACGACAAACGAGGUUAAGGCUUUGAUGUGGUUAUAUAUAUGUGAAUUCGAUCCAGUUACAUUUCCCACUUCACAGGAAUUGAAGGAAAUUUUUCGCUCUGUCAACGUUCCCUCUACGUUGACGCGUUGCGCACCCAUGUAUUCCGUAAUUUUCACUACUACCCCAAUCGCUGUUAAAACACCGUUGCCUGCACUUGUUUCAUACUUUCAUAGAUGUGCGGGUGCUCUCACCGUCGAGAAACACCAGUUGAAUGUUUAAUCUGAUUGGCUGUUCUCCAUUCGUAUUUGUCGGAUAAUGAAAUGAGCUAUGGACAUAACAAACACAACACAGGAACCAUUGAGGAACCUUAACAAGCACGAUCCGAAUGCAAAUCACACAGUGACAUUCAUUGUAGGAUUCAGUAUUCUGCUCAUAUUCCUUCUCGUCGGAAUACUUGCGAGUACUUUCCUUUGUUACAUCCUUAAAAAAGAUGUGUAUUUGUGGGAAGCUGAGCAGCGAAAAUUAGAUGAAGAGAAUCAGAUGACUGAAGACGAGAUGAACAAAGAAGGAGAUCCCAAAUCUGCAACGAGUGAAAAAAAUUCCAGAAACGAAGAUGGUGUGGAUUGAAAAUUUUGUUGUUUUAUCGAAAUACAAUUUUAAGUGCAUUUGAAUAUUAUCACAGAUGAAUUUUUAAUUUUUAAUAUUUCUGUUAUGUAUUUUCAGUUUGACAAUAAUGAAGAAUGUAUUUUGGAUUAUAUGAAACGCAA